GGCGGAGGACAGCCGAGCGACCAGAGUGACAGCAAAGGAAAGGCGGAGAGCAGGAGAAAGAAGCGUCUGCGCUGGCAAGCUCUCCCGGCAGCGCCGAGAGCCAGAGCUGCGGUGCUGCUGUGCUGAUGCUCCAUACAUUCGCAGUAACGGGUAGAGCGGAAGGCUCCGUGGCCAGGGAAGAGCGGCACGGACACAUUCCUGCUUGCUCCGUUGCACUGGAAUUGCGAUGGCUGGGUUCGGCCGCUAAAUUGAUGGCGCUACCGGAAGAAAUUUCAGAAAAUUUCUUACGGAUAGGAGGCUCGUGUGAGCGUUUAGCCUGUCCCGUCCUUAAUUCUGAACCCACUGGCUGGUGCAGAAGAACGGUCGUGUGACAAAAACAGCAUGAAAUUUGUCCCUGUGCUGGAUGCGUCCCGUGAAAGGGUGGCUUUUUCAUCGAUCUCUUUGUGAGAGUAUCAAAUCAGGUGGCGGUAAAUACGUAGAAGCAACUAGGCGUACUACGGCGUGUACCGGACAGUGUUGGCGUGCCGCUCUGCUAGCAGCGGAGAGCCAGAUGAGGAUGCCCGUGGUAAGUACUCGUUCUGCCUCCAGCUGAACGGAAAGAUUCUCAUGUUGAGGGUUCUUGGGCUUGUCUGUGUGAUUAGCAUUACUUUUUUUUUUUUUUUUAAUAUGAAACAGGGUCAGAUAAUUGUUGAUGAGUGGGACUUUGCGUACUCCUUUAGGUAGCUUUUCAUACUGAAGCUUAGAUCAGUUACAAAACUUAAUCUUUGUGCAGUUUACGCGUUUUGUAGCAUCUGUGGCAGAAACAACUACAAAGACAUUUAUCCUGUAGGUAAGCUGAAAAUAAAAAUGCGGUUUCUCACCUGAUUUUUCUUUUGGAGGAACGCUCGCCCCCAGCGGCUGGUUUUUUUUGCUAGUGUUGUCAGGGGGAAGGAACGGUGGCGCUUGCCUGGUUUCUUCCCCUAGCCAGGGACCUGAAACUUUGUUUUCCUCAGGUGUUUCACUAGAAAUUUACAAGUGUCGGUGGUCAACAGUGGCAGAGAAUUGGGUGGCAUUUUCAAUUUCAAAGGGAAGGAACAUGUUGAUGUUAAUUCUGUUACCAAAAGUGAAGUACCAGCUGCUUCCUCUUUCUAGAUCUUCUCUCCUUUCGCCGUCCUCCCCGAGGGGUAACGUGGCCACGCUGUAUACCUUUUCUGUUCUGGUACCGUUCGUUUGAUACGCAGGAGCGCUGUGAAAUAAAUAGAAGGGCUACGGACAGACAUCUGCCAUCAUUGCGGCUGCCUUAAAUCGUCUAUUUGUCCCUUUAGCCCGUCAUUUCCUUUCCACUCAGUUGAGUUACGUGCAGCGUUAGGUUCCAGUCGAGAGCGGUGCCGCCGAACAACGGUCUUGGAGCGUGUGUGGAGGAGGGCG